GUGGGGAAUUUUGGACAAUGGGCGCAAGCCUGAUCCAGCAAUGCCGCGUGCAGGAACAAGGCCUUCGGGUUGUAAACUGCUUUUGUACGGAACGAAACGGUCCGGGUUAAUACCCUGGGCUAAUGACGGUACCGUAAGAAUAAGCACCGGCUAACUACGUGCCAGCAGCCGCGGUAAUACGUAGGGUGCAAGCGUUAAUCGGAAUUACUGGGCGUAAAGCGUGCGCAGGCGGUUUUGUAAGACAGGCGUGAAAUCCCCGGGCUCAACCUGGGAAUUGCGCUUGGGACUGCAAGGCUGGAGUGCGGCAGAGGGGGAUGGAAUUCCGCGUGUAGCAGUGAAAUGCGUAGAUAUGCGGAGGAACACCGAUGGCGAAGGCAAUCCCCUGGGCCUGCACUGACGCUCAUGCACGAAAGCGUGGGGAGCAAACAGGAUUAGAUACCCGUGUAGUCC
rnacentral:rRNA from 1 species